rnacentral:rRNA from 1 species
AUUGAACGCUGGCGGCAGGCCUAACACAUGCAAGUCGAGCGAGCGGCGGACGGGUGCGGACUGUCUGGGAAACUGCCUGUUAGCUGGGGAUAACAGCUGGAAACGGUAGCUAAUACCGCAUACCAUGGGAUGUGCGCAGAUGGGAUUAGCUAGUCGGUGGGGUAAAGGCUCACCUAGGCGACGAUCCCUAGCUGGUCGGAGAGGAUGACCAGCCACACUGGAACUGAGACACGGUCCAGACUCCUACGGGAGGCAGCAGUGGGGAAUAUUGCGCAAUGGGCGAAAGCCUGAUGCAGCCAUGCCGCGUGGAUGAAGAAGGCUUUCGGGUCGUAAAGUACUGUCGGCGGGGAGGCGGUAUCUACAGAAAAAGCACCGGCUAACUCCGUGCCAGCAGCCGCGGUAAUAC